GUGCAUCGUGGACAAGUCCGCGGAGCUUAAGGCUCGUACAAACAGUGGUUUCAUGAAAGUGACAUUUGAGAGGAGUGAUAUCAGUGAAGGAUGACCCAGGCCUGGAGGACACCAUUCAACUUACAGUAUGACUCUGGGGUUUAACUUUGUGAUGGAAACACCUCUGCAAAAUAUCAGCACACGCUUCAGGUGCAGCUUAAACAAAACUUCAACAGCUCCAGUUAGAAAAGUCAAGUAGGGAUCCUCCAAAGUUGGAGUCUUUUGAGGACAGAGCUCCCUCUUUUUCCUUCUACACAGUUUUUCUGUUGCUGAACUGAGCGGAGGAUAAGAGUUUCAGUUUUUUUUUUUCCCUCAAGGAAUCAUUGUGUCACCAAGUUGGACAUUCAGUUUGAGCUCCAGUAGCUCCUUUGUUGGAUCAGACCACACGGGCCAGCCUUUGCUCCUCAUGCACCAACAAUCCCUGGCCGCCCAGGACCCUGACGUUCGUCCAUUUUUCCUGCUUCCAGCACAUCAACUUCAAGGACACAAUGUUCACUUGCUGCCUCACUGUCAGGUACUAUUGUUACAAAUAAAGAGUGUUAUGUGCUUCACCUGCUAGUAGUCAUAACGUUAUGGUACAUGGCUGUAUGUGCUCAUGGGUAUUAGUUUAGUUUCAGUAGCUCUGGUACUGAACA